CGAAUUUCACACAGAAUUGUAUUCCGUUAUCGAUGGCGUAUCAUUACAUUUAUACACGAGACAAAUAAUUGUACGUGUAUUCUACCUCCCCAACUUCCUAACUACAACAGUUGCACGCCCAUCAGCAGUAUAAGUUUAUUUUUUUUCAUUUAAACAUCAAAAUGCACAUCAUAUUCACAACCACAGCGACGGUUAGCCCGUCAUCUGAAUAUUAAGAAAAGCG